rnacentral:rRNA from 1 species
UGGUGGGUUGCCUUGUCAGGUUGAUUCCGGUAACGAACGAGACCUCAGCCUGCUAAAUAGUCACUUUCGCUUUUUGCGGAUGGCAGACUUCUUAGAGGGACUAUUGGCGAUUCCAGUCAAUGGAAGUAUGAGGCAAUAACA